CCCACACGUAGUGGCGGGGCGGGGGCCGCGGGGGGAGGGCGCGUCGGGGCGGGGGCGCCGAGUCCAAGGGCACCAGCGGUCUGUGGGCCCCGGGCGGGGAGCUGGGGCCGAGCCCAGGCGGCGGGAGAGAGGGCGCGUCUGAUUCAGGAAGUUGUGUCUCUGACAUCAGGGGCAGGACGGAGUUGGAGCGAAACCUCAGAAAUGUGAGGCUCCAGACUCGGGAGGGCAAAGAACGCACAGGGGGCUUUCCUCGCGGUGAGGGCAGGUACGCGCGGCGCCCGGCCCCCACCUACCCCUCAGCGCCGCACCUGGCUCCGCAGGGGGGCGGGCUUCCGCACAGGGACCUUGACCUCCGCCGGGACCCCUGCUGUCAGACGGGCCGCGCCAGACCCCUGCGCCACCGCGCCUGUAGGAAGCCCUCCGGUGGACUGCGAGGUGCCCACCCUGAUCACCCCUUCUGUGAAGCCUUGCCUAGAUCUCUCACUGGAAUUAACAGCUUCCUCCUGGCUGCUUCCAUAACCAUGUGUUUGCAUUUCCCUUUGGACACUUAACUAGUCAUGCUUCAUCGUUCUUCUUUCAUGUUCCUCCAUUUCCCCAACAAAAAAUAAAUUCCUUGAGUUCACAGUCUACAUCUUUAGUUCAGUUUGGAGUUCCUUACCCAGGUAGUUGGCAGGUUUCUGUUUCUUACUAGGCAGCAUUAUCUGGGAAAGCCUUAGAACAGAGAGAAGGGCUUCAGGCACCCAGUGGUUACUCAACAUACUUGCACUGAGUUGGAUCGUCUGCUGCUCCACUGCAGAUACUGGAGAUGGCAGCUCUUGGCCCCCUCAGCCUCAAUUGUGGCAACAACCCAGGCUCAGGGAAGGAAGAAAAAAGCGAGCCAAGGGAGUUCCUCCCUCUAGGAAGAAACAGGGAGAGACCUUUGCAGUAAUAACAGUGAUGUAUGUAGUGAGUGCUACACACACGCAUACUCUACUCAGUCGGCUCAGCAACCAGAAAUUACCAAACAAAAUGGUAUCAAUUCAUGAACACCAAGACGUGUCAGAAAGACAUCUAAUCAAGGCUUUUCCAGAGCAUGGUGGCAGGUCAUAACAUUCAAUAUGGUGCCCUGUGAGAACAAGUGCAAUCUCCAUUUGAGGCCAACGAUCUUUGGAAGAAAGCUGUCACUGCUAUCAUCGCUGUUUCUUGGCACUUACAGCCCAACUGGAGGUUCAGAAAUAGCCAGUCACCAAAAGAGGCCAGCAGAGUGUGCCGAUACUCUGGAAUGCCCAGGAGUAUCUGGCAUGGAAGUACACUCUGAGCUCAGGUUGAAAGAGUUCUCCAGACCCAGAAUAUUGAAAAUCCCGUUGAUGGAUUUUCUUCAGAGCAUCUUCUUCCAUCUGACCACAGUGCUGUGUGUGAACCCAGAAAUCAGCAUGGCAGUCUGGAACAAGCACUGGAUAUUUAGGGGAAGAAGAAUUACCACAUCAUUCUUGAUCAUCUGUGAGCCCUUGGGUGUUUAACUUCAGUGGGCCUGAUUCCUCAUCUAUAAAAAUGUCCAUUUAUUAAUUCAGCAAGUAUUUUCCCAAAGCAAACAUGUCCCAGAUGCUGGGAAUGCUGGAUGGGAAUAGAUUCUGUCUAGAAAGGAAGAAAGGUGAUUAAAUAAACAAUUAGCCUCAACCAGGUAUGGGCUAUGGUAGCAGUGUAAGGACAGUGAGGGGUACUGGGCAGGGGCUCUUACAUCAAUGAGGUCAUGGAAGGUUUCCCAAGGGGACCCAUAUUUCUCUGAGAUGUAAAUGAACAGAAGUCAGGAGAUUCGGUGUUAGCGUUUGGACUGGGAUUAGGGGAGAGCUGGGGGGUUCCAGACAGAGAAACCUGUAGAGGCCCCAGAGCAAGAGAGGGACCACAAAUCUCAGGGAGUCUGAGAGAGUGAACUGCAGAAGUGACGAAUUGCCAUUAUUAGCUCCUCUCUUGUUGCUUUGUAGAAGAUAAUGUAGUGAAGACAACAUUGCACUGGGGAACCAGAUGACUAGAACCCUCUCUGCCCUUGGCCACUAACCAGCUUUGCAAUUUUAUUUUUUAAGUUUAUUUAUUUAAGAGAGAGAGAGUAUGAGCUGGGAUGGAGAAGAGAUAGAAUCCCAAGCAGGCUCAGCACAGAGCCUGACAUGAGGCUCAAACUUACAAAACUGUGAGAUCAUGGUCUGAGCUGAGACCAAGAAUCGAAUGCUUAACCAACUGAGCCACCUAGGUAGCUCACGAGCUUUGCAAUUUUAAACAAAUUUUGAACAAAUUUCUUCUCCUUAGGUCAUUCAUCUGUGAAAUAGGGUGAGAAACUUCUCCCUUCCUCACAUUAUGGUAGACCGAGUAAAGAAAUGUUUGCAGAAGCCCUUAAAACAUUAACAUGUGUUAUGAGGGCAAGGUCUUCGAUCAGACAUCCCCCAAUCAUAAGUAAAAGCAAGCCCAUCUGGGCAUCUGUUAAGACUGGAGAAGUGAUUGCAUCAGGGUUUUUAGCCUCUGCCUGCAUUCCCAAAGGAUCACGAGAUAAAUAGUAGUUUCUUUCCGACUGGGUUGAUGAUACUUCAUUUCAGUUCAUAAUCAGAUUUUGUGUAAGGAGGCAAGAGCGCUAUUAAUAAAAUUUGUGUUUUUAGUUGUAAGGUUUGUGAUUCCUGAGCCUGGCUGUUUAGGGCAGAGUGCCCCGAGCCCAGGGGUGGGGGCUUGCUGCUGUAUAAACGCCAGCUCAGGCCAAGGCACACUUGGAAUUACAAGAGGGAUCAGGUUAAGAGUAUGUGGCCUCUGAAACAGUGACGCUGCUAUGUCUCUUCUGUUCGCCAGCUUUCAGGGCCUCGCUGGCACCUGUUACACCAAACCAAUGUUCAGCCUUCCAAGCCCUGUGUAAUCUCACCAGCCCUGCCUGUACUACCUCGGUCCUCACUCUUCCUCGGGAGGUUUCUUCACUGCUACCCCAGGCCCAAACUCUGCAUGUGCUGGCCUCUGACCUGCACCCUGGCUUCCCAUCCUAUCCAGCUCACCUCAGCUCCCCUUUUCCCACCCGACCAUCCGACCUCAGACUCUGCCGUGCAGCCUCCCACUUAAGUCCCAAGGCAACAUUGAUUCCUCUCCUUCCUGAUCGUGUGUGCACUUUGGCAUUUUCUGAUAUUUACCUUAGCCUCUAACUGCCGUGGUUAUUUUUGAAAAUUAUACUUGGAAGGGCAUUUUCAGUUUAUAAAGAACUCUCCUGUAUAUUGUCUGACUUCCACAGCAAGGCUGAGGGUGAUGAUGUCAGUGUGAUUAUUACCUUCCCAUCUUAGAAGGGAGGAACCUGUGGUCUGGCCGGGGAGAGGCAGGGACCCGCACUGUCGUCUGGCAGGACCUAACAGCGUUCCAUGUUCCAUGAACUCUCCCAGGACAGGAACCUUUUUACACUUCUGGGCUCCCCCUCAGCACCAAGUUGACCACAUAGUAGUUCCUUAACUAGUGUUUCUUGAAAUGAAACCCACGUGCUACUUCAGGAAAAGUAAUUCAAAUGGCAGGUUUUAUUGAUGGAAAUCGUUGUUGUUAGUUCUAUUAGCUUCUUCAUAUACAAAGAACGAUAGCCUGCAGCAUGGCUUUUAUUAUGGUGACCCAGUAAACAGCCUAAGGGAGACUGGCACUCAUUCUGUAUAAACCUCCCCACCCCCACUCCCAGCCAGGGGUCAGUCACAGGGCAGUCAUAGAGGCAGGUACCACUCCCGCAGCUCCCACCAGGCAGCCAGGCCCCACUGCCUCCUGGCAAAGGAUGGAAUGUGCUUGUCAGAACUCGCUCGGCAGGGUGGACAUGCUCGGCUAGCCCUUGAAAAGCAGGGGUCAUUUGGGCACACGGGGGAUCCAGGUCUCCCAGCACCACUGCACAGCCAGGUGAAAGAGCCCUCUCCCCCCUGGGGGAGAAGGGGUGUGGGGGUGGUAUCCAUCCAUCCAUCCACUCUGGGUUGGGGGCAGGAAAACUUCCCAGCAUGGGAGCAAAUUAAGAAUUUCAAGCCACUCGCUACCUGGAAGAAUUGAGGUGUGACAUUUUUUGCCAUGUCCCUACAUCUGCCUGGAAUGAUAGUAAUUGUGACUCUAAAUAUUUGUACAGUUCCUAAGAGCCUAGGGUCAUGUUCACAUGCAUUGUCUGCUUUGACCUCAGGACCCUGCAAGGCGGCUGUCCACUGCUAGUUACUCGUUUCCUUCAGAAAGUAUGUGCAUGUGACCAAGCCUUCAGAAUAGUACCAAAGGAACGAGACAAAAGCCAGUCUCCCAGCUCUGCCCCCGGUGUCCUUCCACAGAGGCAACACAUAUUAUCACUUUCUUGAGUAUUUGUCCAGAUUUUGCCCCCAUUUUAGAGAUGAAGAAACUGAGGCCCAAAACAACUGAAUGACCUUCUCAAGGAUGCACACGAAGUCUCAAGUGAGAAUGUGAGUUGACUUCUCAUACCACAAUCUAGGAGCUUCCCCUACACUCUCAGUCUGUCUUCCUCCCAAGAAUUCAGCUCAUAUGCAAACCUACAGGAGCAUAAAUAAAUAAAACCACCUAAAAGUCAAAGCCAGAACUGGAGCCCCACAGGCUCUCCACUGAGGAGCAGAACUGCCUCCUCUACAAGGACCCCUGCCCCCCUCUCUGGCUGCUCUGAGCCGGCUCCUUUCCCGGGGAGCCCUCUCCUCCUUUCUCACCAGCAGAGGCAUGGCCAAACAUUCAGGUCGUUUUGCUCUAUCAAAGUGUUUCCACGCAAUGGCCUAUUUCUUCAAGACCCUGACACUCUGAGAGUUGGUCUGAUUUUUUUUUUUUUUUAAUGUAUUCUGGGCUGCUUAUGGGAGAUGAGGCCUAAAAGCUGGUGUGGAGUCUGCAAGCCGCCCCGCCCUGAGGACACAGGUGGAGAGCUCAGAGACAAGGUCUGAGGUCCAGGGUCUCUCCCACCAGUCCUCCGCUCCCGGAGACCCGCUGUCUUCCGUAAAGCUCUGAGGUCUCCAGGCAAGGAUGGAGCAGAGGUGGUGGAUGGGGAGGAGGGUGGAGGUGGAGCCAAGGGAAGGGUGUGUCUGUGCGCAUGCGCUUGCAGUAGUAUCUACUGGCAUCCCCCACCCCUGGCCAACAAUCGCAGCUUAAGCCAGUGUCUUAAAUCCACGCUCCCAAAUGACAUAUUUGUAGCACCUGUAGCCUCCCUUACGGAGGGCAUUUCAGGGACGGAGAGAAAGACAUUUGGGGACGAGGGCAGGCAAAUUGAGAGGAUUAGGUGUGGGGUGAAGCCAUCGUCGGUUCCAGAAUUUCUCUGUAACAGGAGUUUAGGAGUAACAAUCUAUUUGCACAGAGGCACCCAAGCCGCAUUUGAUGAGACUUGGAAAAUGUCAUCUGGAUCAAAAGAAGAGGGUGCCACUUGCCUGAGUGUGUGCUCCAUAAAUAUAUGAGCAAACUCAUACAUUCUCUGCAUUCACCAAGAAUUAUUUAGCAAAACUGUACAAAAAAAAAAACAAAAAACAAAAAACAAACAAACAAAAAAACAAUGAUCCCCGUGACAUUGGGGAUGCAGAUUUAAGCCCCUGCAGACAGGAAGUGAAGGUUGGCCCUCUAGGAGUGUUAGUGCCUCUACCCCGCCCUGCAGGCAGGAGCCUGGGGCCCAAAGCCUGGCGAGUCUGAAAUAUUCCACAGUGUGCAUUCCGCAGGGGUGAGUUAUGAUUGGAAUGAGACUAUUUCUGCUCACUCCCUCUAUGACUCGGCCUUUAUGUUUUAAGCCUUAAUAUUAUGGUAAGGUAGCUUUUGACUUUUAAUUGCCCUGAACUUCUGUCAGCAUCCUAUGAAAGGAGAAAAUGGAAAGGAAAAUAAAAUCAUAUCCGUACUGCUUUUGAGUUGCAUCCCUGUGUAUUUUUGCCACCCCAUUAGUUUUCAACUAUUUUAGCCUAUAAACUUCUCUUGCCCCACCACCGAGAAAACCGAAUCAGUCCGUCAUGCAGGUAUGGCUGCGAGGUGUGAGAACACUAAGUUCUCUAAUAUUAAAGAGAAUUACGCAGCUUUCGGGCCUAUUUUUUGAUUGCCACCUGUGUGGGAGACCCCGAUUCACACAAGUGCUGGAUUGUCUUCCUGCUUUUUCAAGAAACACCCUCUCCCUCGGAGAGGAUGUGACGUUUGAGGACUCAAGUGCCUGUUGCCGGGGUCAGCCACAAAGUGCUCCCUUCAUCUGGAGGACAGAGAAGGCACCGCCCUCCUCAAUGGCCCCGAACUUGAAGAUGACCUCAGACCCCAAGCUCACACUUUCCAAAAAUAAAACUGUACCUAUGUGCUUUACCACACCCACAAAGAUUGGCUCCAAAAUCAUGUACCAAAUAGUUUUGGCAAGUGAAAAUGGGAGCUGAGUAAGCCAGGUAUUUCACAGUAACUAUGGCUACAGGUUUUAUUAGCACUAAUACCAGGAUGUGGUCAGAUCAGAUAUAUUCAGGCAGCAAACAUGAAUGCGGGUGUUGUCAGUGUGUAUGCCCGUAAAUUCUCCAAACUGGAAACACAGCUCCUAAUGACUGAUUCAGGAAGGAUGGGGCCAGGGUUGGGAGGGUGGAGGGCUGCCUCAGGAAGGGAAGCUCGGGGGUUCUCACUUGAGCUUUAAUUCAGCUCUCCAGUCUGAUCCUUGCAUUUCAAUUGCAAGCCUCCCUUCUCAGUGUUCUUUCACAUGCCUGGCUAUUCUCCACGACAAUCUUGAGAGAUAUCUGGGACAGCUCCUGGCCUCAUUUCUCAGAUGAGGAGAGGGCUCAGAAAGCCUGACUGGUUCACUCAAGGUCAGAGGGUUGGAAGACAACUGAAUCGGGACUAAAACUGGGUCCUCUGGCUCCCAGCUUGAUGUUCUCUCCACUGCACCCCUCUGCCGGCCUUUUGUAUUGUGCGUGGAACAUUUUGAGACGCAUUAACUCCUCUUGCAGACAGCCCUCAUCCUUAUUAUUUGUCUGAUUAGCCAAAGACCAAUGUCAGUGGAUCCAAAUGGUGGUUUCAGCUGGAAAGGGCAGCUUUCCUUUUGCCUUUUGUCCUCACCUCUCCUUUUCAAGCCCCCUGCCUCACUCUCCCCUACGUAGACUACCGUGCAAGACUAGGGAACCUAGUCCCUACUCCGGAUGCAGUUUGUAGUCUGGGACCCGCAGGCUUUAAAUGCAGUGACGGGACUGGGUGAGGCUGGCAGGGUGGGGAAGGCUGUGGGAUGGGGGUUAAGGAGGACACACAGGCCCCUCUAAAGCCCCAGCAGGUUGUGGCUACGCAGGAGGAUAGGUUGGUGGCCAAAUCUGGGGACUAGCUAAAAAUUGGUAAUUGUACAUGAAGUUAGAGGAGGGGAAAAAAUAAAAUCAUAAUGAAAGUGCCUAUGGGUUGGUUAUAGCUCUUGGACUGCCAGAGAGCACUCAAAGGAGUUUUAUGCCUUUGGGUUACCCGCUGUCGUAUGUGAUAUCGCAUUGUAUUCCUUUUCUUACAUUUUGGGUCCUAUUAAAAUGUGAGCUCCCUUGGUGCAGCCACUCUGGAAAGCAGUGUGGAGGUUCCUCAGAAAAUUAAAAAUAGACCCAGCAACAGCACUGCUAGGAAUUUACCCAAGGGAUACAGGAGUACUGAUGCAUAGGGGCACUUGUACCCCAAUGUUUAUAGCAGCACUCUCAACAAUAGCCAAAUUAUGGAAAGAGCCUAAAUGUCCAUCAACUGAUGAAUGGAUAAAGAAAUUGUGGUUUAUAUACACAAUGGAAUACUACGUGGCCAUGAGAAAGAAUGAAAUAUGGCCUUUUGUAGGAACAUGGAUGGAACUAGAGAGUGUGAUGCUAAGUGAAAUAAGCCAUACAGAGAAAGACAGAUACCAUAUGGUUUCACUCUUAUGUGGAUCCUGAGAAACGUAACAGAAACCCAUGGGGGAGGGGAAGGAAAAAAAAAAAAAAAAAAAAGAGGUUAGAGUGGGAGAGAGCCAAAUCAUAAGAGACUGUUAAAAACUGAGAACAAACUGAGGGUUGAAGGGGGGUGGGAGGGAGGGGAGGGUGGGUGAUGGGUAUUGAGGAGGGCACCUUUUGGGAUGAGCACUGGGUGUUGUAUGGAAACCAAUUUGACAAUAAAUUUCAUAUAUUGGAAAAAAAAAGGAAA